CAGCCAGAGCUGCGCGAGCCUGCAUGCGCUGGAGCGCUGAGCGCGAGCUGCACAGUUCCUUUGUUCCAUCGCGCUGCAGCGUUCGUUUAAAUUCAAAUUGUAUUUAAACUGUAACGGAUUAAUUAUAGACUAACGGAAUUAACGGACGCCUGCGGGGGAAUAGAGCACGUCUAGGGACAGCUAGCGAGCUUGUUACACUAAAGCUACUAAGCUAAUACGUGCCUGAUUCCUGCUCUCUCUAUCCGAGCAUCCUUCCCUCCUCCCCCUUCACGGGCCUAAUGUGGAGAUUUAUUCCGAUGAGCUGCACGGCUAUUGGUUGAAGGCGCUGUCCAUCACUCUCCGGGUUUGGUUGACUCCCCCAGUGGCGUCCACGCUUCCACGGCAACGCAGGCUUUAUAAAUAGGGCUUAGCAGAUUCAUAUUUUGGAUGGCAGAUCUGCACACUCUUGGUAUUUUCUCAAGAGCUUCAAGAGGUAAAGUCACCUGGAAUCGUUGUCUCAGUGUCUUGACAGCGUUCCUGGAGGUGCCUCACACUGUGCUUCAGCUUAUCCCAAACCACCAUCUCAGUUGGGUUUAGUUCAGGGAGUUGUGGAGGCCAAACACUUUUUUGUUUACUACAUAAUUACAUGUAUCCCUUAAUUGUUUUACAUUUUAAUUUUAAUCUACAAUGUAGAAAAGGAAUUAAAUUAAAAAAUAAUGAAAAAUCACUGAAUGAGAAGGUGUGUCCAAACUUUAGAUUCAUACAGUACAUAUUCAGUUAAGGAGGCUCCACACACAUCCUGCAGGUCAAUGUAAAAUUCUUUAGCUUUCAUGGGACAUGGGUAUGUCAGGGUAUUAUUAUGUUUAAAAAUAAGUAAACAUGUUCACAAAUGAAGCAUAUUAUGAUAAUUUACAGUAAUCACAGAAAACAGCAUUAUGAAACAGGGAGAGCAGUGCCGUGACUUAACAGUUUAAUGUAAAUUCAAGACAAAGUGUGAUUACAUUUCUACACAUAUACAAUAUGCAUAUGUGAGCAUACAAAUUCUCAUUAAUAACUCGAUUCACCUCGGAGACCGAAAAAAUGAUCAAAA